rnacentral:rRNA from 1 species
UUCUGAACUGGGNGACUAGAGUGUGUCAGAGGGAGGUAGAAUUCCACGUGUAGCAGUGAAAUGCGUAGAGAUGUGGAGGAAUACCGAUGGCGAAGGCAGCCUCNUGGGAUAACACUGACGUUCAUGCCCGAAAGCGUGGGUAGCAAACAGGAUUAGAUACCCUGGUAGUNCACGCCCUAAACGAUGUCGAUUAGCUGUUGGGCAGCAUGACUGCUUAGUAGCGAAGCUAACGCGUGAAAUCGACCGCCUGGGGAGUACGGUCGCAAGAUUAAAACUCAAAGGAAUUGACGGGGACCCGCACAAGCGGUGGAUGAUGUGGAUUAAUUCGAUGCAACGCGAAGAACCUUACCUGGUCUUGACAUGUACGGAACCCUCCAGAGACGGAGGGGUGCCUUCGGGAGCCGUAACACAGGUGCUGCAUGGCUGUCGUCAGCUCGUGUCGUGAGAUGUUGGGUUAAGUCCNGCAACGAGCGCAACCCUUGUCAUUAGUUGCCAUCAUUAAGUUGGGCACUCUAAUGAGACUGCCGGUGACAAGCCGGAGGAAGGUGGGGAUGACGUCAAGUCCUCAUGGCCCUUAUGACCAGGGCUUCACACGCCAUACAAUGGUCGGUACAGAGGGUAGCCAAGCCGCGAGGUGGAGCCAAUCUCACAAAACCGAUCGUAGUCCGGAUUGCACUCUGCAACUCGAGUGCAUGAAGUCGGAAUCGCUAGUAAUCGCAGGUCAGCAUACUGCGGUGAAUACGUUCCCGGGUCUNG